UACGUAGGGUGCGAGCGUUGUCCGGAAUUACUGGGCGUAAAGAGUUCGUAGGCGGUUUGUCGCGUCGUUCGUGAAAACUUGGGGCUUAACUCCAAGCGUGCGGGCGAUACGGGCAGACUUGAGUACUACAGGGGAGACUGGAAUUCCUGGUGUAGCGGUGAAAUGCGCAGAUAUCAGGAGGAACACCGGUGGCGAAGGCGGGUCUCUGGGUAGUAACUGACGCUGAGGAACGAAAGCGUGGGGAGCAAACAGG
rnacentral:rRNA from 1 species